rnacentral:rRNA from 1 species
GUGCCAGUCGCCGCGGUAAUACCGGCAGCCCGAGUGAUGGCCGCUGUUAUUGGGCCUAAAGCGUCCGUAGCUGGCCGCACGAGUCCGUCGGGAAAUCCACCCGCCCAACGGGUGGGCGUCCGGUGGAAACUGCGUGGCUUGGGACCGGAAGGCGCGACGGGUACGUCCGGGGUAGGAGUGAAAUCCCGUAAUCCUGGACGGACCGCCGAUGGCGAAAGCACGUCGCGAAGACGGAUCCGACAGUGAGGGACGAAAGCUAGGGUCUCGAACCGGAUUAGAAACCCGUGGAGUCC